UUUCUAUACGUUUUCACUCUUUUAAAAAUCAGUUAUUUAGAAAAACAAAAGAAGAAAAUUUCACAUUUGGUUGUUUACUCUUGUGAAAUGUAUUGGUUUGCCUAUGGUGAAAUUGAUAGCUCUUUGAUAAAAACCUUAAAAGGUUUAAUGCAACCAGUUGUAGGAGGAGAAUAUUUGUUAUAAGUGCUCAAAAUGACUUCCAGCAGAAGAUAGCUGGUUAAGACUUUUUCUUUUUUUUUUUUAACCUCUACUUCCAUCUAAAGUCUCUUUGAAAUGGUAUAAUAAAUUCUAAAAAUAAAUCCACAACAGCACUGGAGACCUGGAAGGGUGGAAUCAACCUUGAGGGAUUUUUUAAUAGCAUAGAACAGAUGGAAUAAGAUUGAAGGUAAGGCCCAACUGAGCAAAAGACCCUAGAACACAAUAAAGAUGAAUGACAAGGCUGCUGAAACAUUAACUAUAACUGUGAAAAACCCCCAGAUCACAACCAGAGAAAAUUGGGAACAAACCCUGGGGCAGUCAGCAGGGUAAUUAAUUACAGGGCUGCAGAAGAGCUGAAGCAGUCCCCUGCUCUUCAGAGCUGAGGGAACACUCUCUCAAGAAGCUGCAUGUUCUGUCAUGGACGCCUCCAGCGCUCUCAGUGACCUCCCCCAUGACAGGGAGAUCCUUGGGGAAAGCUUCAGUACUGGACAUUGCCAUCCUUCCCUCUUCCUAUCUCCAGGCACUUGUUCCCCCAACAUAUGUUUGAACUUCCUUUUUACUGUUUGUUUUCUGUCUCUUUGCUUGGUGUCAGUCUGGCUGCCAGUUGUCUUUGUAUUGGCCUUUUACAUUCCACUAUUCCUCUAGUUUGUACUCGUAAUCUCUAUGCUAGGGACCAGAUAUACACACACACACACACACACACACACACACGUAGCAAAAGUCUAUGUUAAUAUACUAAAGAAUUACAAAAAUUUACAAAAGAAAAAGUCUGUUUUAAUCAAGUAUUAAAAAAGUAAGUAAAUCGAAUAUUAAAGUAGUAAAUGACUGAUUUAGUAAUUAGGUAAUAUUCAAGACUCUUCCUUCAAAGUAGCAUUUGACUUUAAAACAAUGCUAUAGAGGAUCGGAAUCCAUGCCUCUAAGAGUAUUUGCUAAAUUUUUGCAGUGAGCAUUUUUUUAUAAUUUUGAUUACCCUAUUACAUUUUUUUAAAUUAAAUGUAUUUUAGAAACCCUGUAAGAACUCUUUAUGUGAAGAAAUUCUGUGUUUUUAGGGGGGAUGAGAAUAACCACUACUAACGUAUUAUGUGUAAGAUCAGAAUUUUAUGUCAGACAUUUUUAAGUGAGGGUGGCAACAGCAGAGAAACACCUGCACAGACAUAGCCCUGUGGACAACCGCAAUCAUUCGUUUUAAUUACCUUGCUACCAUUAACCUUGAUAUUUGUCAAACAUGAUUAUUCAAAGAAAUUUUUUGAAGUUCAGCAGAACUUCUUUGGAAGAAAAGUAAAGAAUUAUGUCUACACUUUUUAUCUGUUAAUAGGAUUAUACCUACUCUGCUGUUUAAAACUCGUAGUUAUUAUGUUGUCUUCUUAUUUAGAAAUACAGUUGCUAAUGUUUGCAUAUCUCCCAGCACUUAAUUAUAUAUAACUUAUCUUUUAAGUGUGAUCAUUCAGAUAAACACAGCUCAUUUUUCUUUGUCUUUAAG